rnacentral:rRNA from 1 species
GCCAGACUCCUACGGGAGGCAGCAGUGGGGAAUAUUGCACAAUGGGGGAAACCCUGAUGCAGCGACGCCGCGUGGGUGAAGGAGUACCUCGGUGCGUAAAGCCCUAUCGGCAGGGAAGAAACAGACGGUACCUGACUAAGAAGCCCCGGCUAACUACGUGCCAGCAGCCGCGGUAAUACGUAGGGGGCAAGCGUUAUCCGGAUUCACUGGGUGUAAAGGGAGCGUAGACGGCGACGCAAGUCUGGAGUGAAAGCCCGGGGCCCAACCCCGGGACUGCUCUGGAAACUGCGUCGCUGGAGUACGGGAGGGGCAGGCGGAAUUCCUGGUGUAGCGGUGAAAUGCGUAGAUAUCAGGAGGAACACCGGCGGCGAAGGCGGCCUGCUGGACCGUGACUGACGUUGAGGCUCGAGAGCGUGGGGAGCAAACAGGAUUAGAUACCCUCGUA